GAAUUUUGGACAAUGGGCGAAAGCCUGAUCCAGCAAUGCCGCGUGCAGGAUGAAGGCCUUCGGGUUGUAAACUACUUUUGUAUGGAACGAAAAGCUUUGGGUUAAUACCCUGGAGUCAUGACGGCACCGUAAGAAUAAGCACCUGCUAACUACGUGCCAGCAGCCGCGGUAAUACGCAGGGUGCAAGCGGUUAUCGGAAUUACUGGGCGUAAAGCGGGCGGAGGCGGUUUGGUAAGACAGAGGUGAAAUCCCCGGGCUCAACCUGGGAACUGCCGUUGUGACUGCAAGGCUAGAGUACGGCAGAGGGGGGUGGAAUUCCGCGUGUAGCAGUGAAAUGCGUAGAUAUGCGGAGGAACACCGAUGGCGAAGGCAACCCCCUGGGCCUGUACUGACGCUCAUGCACGAAAGCGUGGGGAGCAAACA
rnacentral:rRNA from 1 species